CAGAGAGGAUACACCUGUUCCCAUUCCGAACACAGAAGUUAAGCUCUCUAGCGCUGAUGGUACUUGGUGGGAAACUGCCUGGGAGAGUAGGACGUAGCCACGU
rnacentral:rRNA from 1 species